rnacentral:snoRNA from 1 species
UCUCCUGAUGAUCAACAACCUAUUCUUUUUAAUUCUGGUACCUCUUAUGUUAGGGCCCUUUUGGGCCCAAUGAAUGAACUGGACUUCUGAUU